rnacentral:rRNA from 1 species
GUCCACGCCGUAAACGAUGAGUGCUAGGUGUUGUGGGGUGUUGACCCCCGCAGUGCCGCAGCUAACGCAUUAAGCACUCCGCCUGGGAAGGUACGGCCGCAAGGCUAAAACUACAAGGAAUUGACGGGGGCCCGGCACAAGCGGUGGAGCAUGUGGUUUAAUUCGACGCAACGCGCAGAACCUUACCUGGUCUUGACAUCCUCGGAACCUGUUGGAGACAACGGGGUGCUCGCAAGAGAGCCGAGAGACAGGUGCUGCAUGGCUGUCGU